rnacentral:rRNA from 1 species
UAGGGAAUCUUCCACAAUGGACGCAAGUCUGAUGGAGCAACGCCGCGUGAGUGAAGAAGGUUUUCGGACCGUAAAGCUCUGUUGUUGGUGAAGAAGGAUAGAGGUAGUAACUGGCCUUUAUUUGACGGUAAUCAACCAGAAAGUCACGGCUAACUACGUGCCAGCAGCCGCGGUAAUACGUAGGUGGCAAGCGUUGUCCGGAUUUAUUGGGCGUAAAGCGAGCGCAGGCGGAAGAAUAAGUCUGAUGUGAAAGCCCUCGGCUUAACCGAGGAAAUUGCAUCGGAAACUGUUUUCUUGAGUGCAGAAGAGGAGAGUAGAACUCCAUGUGUAGCGGUGGAAUGCGUAGAUAUAUGGAAGAAUACCAGUGGCGAAGGCGGCUCUCUGGUCUGCAAACUGACGCUGAGGCUCGAAAAGCAUGGGUAGCGAACAGGAUUAGAUACCCUGGUAGUCCAUGCCGUAAAACGAUGAGUGCUAAGUGUUGGGAGGCUUCCGCCUCUCAGUGCUGCAGCUAACGCAUUAAGCACUCCGCCUGGGGGAGUACGACCGCAAGGUUGAAAC